GUGGGGAAUCUUAGACAAUGGGGGAAACCCUGAUCUAGCCAUGCCGCGUGAGCGAUGAAGGCCUUAGGGUUGUAAAGCUCUUUCAGAUGGGAAGAUAAUGACGGUACCAUCAGAAGAAGCCCCGGCUAACUCCGUGCCAGCAGCCGCGGUAAUACGGAGGGGGCUAGCGUUGUUCGGAAUUACUGGGCGUAAAGCGCACGUAGGCGGACCAGAAAGUCAGAGGUGAAAUCCCAGGGCUCAACCUUGGAACUGCCUUUGAAACUCCUGGUCUUGAGGUCGAGAGGGGUGAGUGGAAUUCCGAGUGUAGAGGUGAAAUUCGUAGAUAUUCGGAGGAACACCGGUGGCGAAGGCGGCUCACUGGCUCGAUACUGACGCUGAGGUGCGAAAGCGUGGGGAGCAAACAGGAUUAGAAACCCUGGUAGUCC
rnacentral:rRNA from 1 species